rnacentral:rRNA from 1 species
UACGAAGGGGGCUAGCGUUGCUCGGAAUCACUGGGCGUAAAGCGCACGUAGGCGGAUUGUUAAGUCAGGGGUGAAAUCCUGGAGCUCAACUCCAGAACUGCCUUUGAUACUGGCGAUCUCGAGUCCGGGAGAGGUGAGUGGAACUGCGAGUGUAGAGGUGAAAUUCGUAGAUAUUCGCAAGAACACCAGUGGCGAAGGCGGCUCACUGGCCCGGUAUUGACGCUGAGGCGCGAAAGCCAGGGGAGCAAAGCGGG